AUGAAAUGCCUAGGGAAUUUAAAAGAAAGACAGAUUUGUGACAACCAGCCUUUCAUGCAAAUAGUCAUUCAAAUAAUAUUUCAGAAUACUGAAAGACAGGUGAAAAGAUAGACUGUUGGGUGUGGAAUAAGGGAUUUUCUAGAAGAAGGAAUCAGAAAACCACACAAGUGGGUGUGCUAGCGUGUGCCUCAUGAUUUAUACACCUUCUGUCAUUGAUCCCUAGAUUAUCUGUCCAUUAAAGACAAAAAAUAGUUGUGAUUGUGGCUCCACAGAGGAAGUUCUUUUAAAGGCGAACUUGAUUAUUCCCAUUUUAUAUAUAAGGCAAUGUUUUUUUAAAGAAAUCAUCCAAGAUCCUUGGAGCCUUAACUGAAGAGCCAAGAUUCAAUUCUAGGAAGUUUUAUCUUCACAAUCUAGGCUCUAUCAAUUUCUGGCUGCUGUAUACCAAGAAAGUAAGCAUUAGAAAUCAGGAUGGAUGUGAAUGUGUAGAUUAUGACAUAGUAUUCCUGAGUGCUUAAAAUGAAUGGUGUGCCCGGCAUUUGUGGCAGUUAUCCCGAUAGGAGUAUCAACACUUUACAGGCAAGAACUAUCAACCAGAAAUAACCAAUAGAAAUUUGAAUCAAGAAUCUAGAGACUUAUAUAUUUAAUCUGUCAGUAUUUCUAUAAGACCUAAAGCAACUGAACGUUGGGCCAAAUGUUUGGGAAUCCUUUUCAAAGAGCAAUAACUGAGUGUUCACUCUAUCCUAAUAGAUACUCUAGUUAGCCUCUUACUGACAUUAUGUCUUAAGGCUGAGGUAGAACAGAAGGCAAAGAUGGAAAACAAAGUAGUUACAGGACUGGACAAAAUGUAGGGGUUAGAUGUCACAGAUUUUAACAAAAAUUGGGUGGUAAGUUAUAUCAUAUACUACAGAGACCUUCAGAACAUUUAUUCUCUUUACUCCUGCAUGCCACAUCCUCUCUGACAAAAAGCCCAAAGAAUACCAUCUUAUCCUUACUUCCUACUCCCCUCCUUGCCCUCCAGAGCCUCACUGGAAUGAAACUACUAAUUUAAAAUAGUACACAUACUCCGUGACAGUCCUUUUUA
rnacentral:lncRNA from 1 species